rnacentral:rRNA from 1 species
CCCUUAGACGUUCUGGGCCGCACGCGCGCUACACUGACCAGUGCAACAAGCAUCCGUCCUUGGCCGACAGGCCCGGGCAAUCUUUGAACGCUGGUCGUGAUGGGGAUAGACUUUUGCAAUUUUUGGUCUUCAACGAGGAAUUCCUAGUAAACGCAAGUCAUCAACUUGCAUUGAUUACGUCCCUGCCCUUUGUACACACCGCCCGUCGCACCUACCGAUUGAAUGGUCCGGUGAAAUCUCGGGACGGCAGCUUGGUCGCUUGCGUCCGACUGCUGAAACUUGAUUAAACCAUAUCAUUUAGAGGAAGGUGAAGUCGUAACA